ensembl:lncRNA
CAGCAAGGAGCAGGAAGCGCUUGUUAGGAAGGAGCGAGGAAAUGGAGCCUCUGCCCCAACCCAAGCAAACUUUUGAGGACCGGAAAGUGGGAGUAGGAAGGUGUAAAAGUGCUUUGAGCUUUGGCAGGGGAUUGCAGAGGGCAAAGGGUGAAGGGAGAGGGACAAACACCGCCGCAGAACUCAAGGAGGGGGCAGCCCGUGUGUGCGUGCCGUGGAGGGGACUUCACAGUGGAGCUGCUAACUAAAUAAAGAAAGGCUCGUCGCCAUGCCUGUUAGGUUAACUCAGCGGGGAUAUUGCAAAAGCAAAUUCCUCCCAGCAAGUGUAAUUAGGGGGCCGGAAUUCCUCCAGUUCCUUGUCCUUGUUGUGGAUUCUGCUAAAGCCAUCAGGUGAGGGGGAACAAGAAAGUCCAAUGCAAUAACAACCCCCUCCCGGAGAGGCAAGGAUUUCACAUCAAGGCUUGACACUUUUCUCACUGAUUAUUCCAGGGUGGAAAGUACGCGUCAGACAAAACAGUCAGGGUCACAGGGCUGCUUCCCCCAGGGCAGCACGCUCACAUUAGGGGUGGAAAGAAGACAGCGAGGGGUCUGGGCAGGGCACUGUCAGGAUUUGGGAGGUGCCCACAUGCAGGAUCCAGCCCCAUCUGCUUGGCUGAGAAUUUACAGCACUCAGACUGCUACAUCCCAGUGGAUCAUCGGAACUUUGGGAUCCCUGGGCUCAUCAUGGUACCCUGUGCUUACAUGAGGAGGGAAGAUGCUCAUAGGAGCCAGCACGUGAAGAUGUCUCACCUGAUUCUGGGCCACAACAGGACUGCAGCUGGGGUUUCCCUCCAGCUGUGUGGAAUUACACUUAGAGCUGGUCCACGAAGAGCCCACAAGCAGUUGUCCCUGCCUGAGCAUCGCUGGGGCAUGCAGCAUCCCUGCCUGCUGCCCUGACCCCCCCACUGCAAGGAGAGGUCCCAUCCUCUGACCCAGAUGCCUUGUGCCUGUGUAGAGGUUUAUCCAAGAAGUGGAACUGUGGCUGUCCUGCAGCAGUGGCCACAUGAAGCCCUCCUGUCGGUGCACGAGGAGUGCCACCAGUGUGGGAAGAGAUCGCUUCAGGAAGAGCUGCAAAGAGGAGGAUAUGGCAAAUCUCUGCGGAGGGUGACCAAGCUCCGCGUUCCCAAACCCCUCCUUUCUUGGCUAUGUGCCCCAUGCCUGCUCUCCGGAGAGGUGACCCACUCCCCAUCCCUCCCCAUCCUUUACAUAGGAGAUGCGCUGGGCUCUCAGUGUUGUUCCCUUUCCUGUGGAGGCAAAUAGCAGCCCUUCCAACCUUUUGGUUCCACAUUCUGCAUAGGAGCAAAACUAAUCAGAGUCCCAGCGGAGUUCAGCUUUAAUUACCCAUGAGAUGCUAAUCUGCUGCAGGGUCUACAUGCUCCUCCAUCCAAGCUUU